GGCAACAAGGCCUUGCAAAUAACCAUUUACCCUGAGUGGAUCUACAGCGAGAUAUUGAACAACACAGCGCAGGGGUGGAGUCCGUGUUUAACAUCUGUGACGUCCUGCUGCACGACUCCGAUGCCUGUGCAAAUGAGACCGAGUGUGACUCGAUCCAGCAGACCACCAGGAGCCUGGACAGACGCUGGAGGAACAUUUGUGCCAUGUCCAUGGAGCGGCGCAUGAAAAUCGAGGAGACGUGGCGCCUGUGGCAGAAGUUUUUAGACGACUAUUCUCGCUUUGAGGACUGGCUCAAGUCAGCUGAGAGGACGGCGGCCUGCCCAAAUUCCUCAGAGGUGUUGUACACGAGUGCCAAAGAGGAACUGAAGAGGUUUGAGGCCUUUCAGCGGCAGAUUCACGAGCGGCUCACUCAGCUGGAGCUCAUCAACAAGCAGUACCGGCGGCUGGCCCGGGAGAACCGCACAGACACGGCCAGCAGGCUGAAGCAGAUGGUCCACGAGGGCAACCAGCGCUGGGACAACCUUCAGAGGCGGGUCACAGCCGUCCUGCGGAGACUCAGGCAUUUCACCAACCAGAGGGAAGAAUUUGAGGGCACCAGGGAGAGCAUUCUGGUGUGGCUCACAGAGAUGGACCUGCAGCUGACCAACGUGGAGCACUUCUCAGAGAGUGACGCCGAUGACAAGAUGCGCCAACUGAAUGGCUUCCAACAGGAAAUUACAUUAAAUACCAACAAGAUUGAUCAGCUCAUUGUGUUUGGGGAGCAGCUGAUUCAGAAGAGCGAGCCCCUGGAUGCUGUGCUGAUUGAGGAUGAGCUGGAGGAACUCCACCGCUACUGCCAGGAGGUGUUUGGAAGGGUCUCCCGGUUCCACCGGCGGCUCACCUCCUGCACUCCGGGCUUGGAAGAUGAAAAGGAGGCCUCUGAGAAUGAAACAGACAUGGAAGACCCCAGAGAAAUCCAGACUGAUUCCUGGCGUAAACGGGGAGAGAGCGAGGAACCGUCAUCUCCUCAGUCCCUGUGUCAUCUAGUGGCCCCGGGGCACGAGCGGUCUGGCUGCGAGACCCCUGUCAGCGUGGACUCCAUCCCCCUGGAGUGGGACCACACAGGCGACGUGGGGGGCUCCUCCUCUCACGAAGAGGACGAGGAGGGCCCAUACUACAGCGCACUGUCAGGUAAAUCCAUUUCGGAUGGCCACUCGUGGCAUGUUCCCGACAGCCCUUCCUGUCCCGAGCAUCACUACAAGCAAAUGGAAGGUGACAGGAAUGUUCCACCUGUUCCCCCUGCGUCCAGCACCCCUUAUAAACCACCCUAUGGAAAGCUACUAUUACCUCCAGGCACGGAUGGUGGCAAAGAAGGCCCGCGAGUCCUGAAUGGCAGCCCACAGCAGGAAGACGGGGGACUGGCCGGUAUCACAGAGCAGCAGUCAGGUGCCUUCGACAGAUGGGAGAUGAUUCAAGCACAGGAGCUUCACAAUAAGCUCAAAAUAAAACAAAAUUUGCAACAGCUGAACUCUGAUAUCAGUGCCAUCACUACUUGGCUGAAAAAAACUGAAGCAGAGCUGGAAAUGUUAAAGAUGGCAAAGCCUCCCUCUGAUAUCCAGGAAAUAGAACUGAGAGUGAAGAGACUGCAGGAGAUACUGAAAGCCUUUGACACUUACAAGGCAUUAGUGGUCUCUGUCAACGUGAGCAGCAAGGAAUUUCUGCAAACCGAGAGCCCCGAAUCCACAGAGCUCCAAAGUAGACUCCGCCAGCUGAGCCUGCUCUGGGAAGCAGCACAGGGCGCAGUGGACAGCUGGAGAGGGGGCUUACGACAGUCGCUCAUGCAGUGCCAGGACUUCCACCAGUUGAGUCAAAAUCUGCUGCUGUGGUUAGCGAGUGCCGAGAACCGGAGGCAGAAGGCUCAUGUCACCGAUCCAAAGGCAGACCCCCGGGCUCUCCUAGAGUGUCAGAGGGAACUAAUGCAACUGGAAAAGGAGCUGGUAGAACGUCAACCUCAAGUGGACAUGUUACAGGAGAUUUCAAACAGCCUUCUCAUUAAGGGAUAUGGAGAAGACUAUAUUGAAGCUGAAGAAAAGGUGCAUGUUAUUGAGAAGAAACUCAAACAGUUACGGGAGCAAGUGUCCCAAGAUUUAAUGGCCUUGCAGGGAACCCAGAACCCAGCCCCACCCCUGCCCAGCUUCGACGAGGUAGACUCGGGGGACCAGCCUCCUGCAACAUCCGUGCCAGCUCCCCGAGCAAAGCAGUUCAGAGCAGUGAGAACUACAGAAGGCGAGGAGGAGACAGAGAGCAGGGUCCCCGGCAGCACACGGCCACAGCGCUCCUUCCUCUCAAGGGUGAUCCGGGCAGCCCUACCCCUGCAGCUGCUCCUCCUGCUGCUGCUGCUCCUGGCCUGCCUGCUGCCCUCCUCCGAAGAAGACUACAGCUGCACUCAGGCCAACAACUUUGCCCGGUCCUUUUACCCCAUGCUGAGGUACACCAAUGGGCCACCCCCCACAUAGAGGGCAUAGCUGGCCACAGUGCUACACCACCUGCCUGAUUGCCAAGGGUGCCCAGCACGUGGCCCCAGACCAAUCUGAGUGACUUAGUGUUGGCAAGGUCCCGGGACCUGUGCAGACUUCUUCUGGGCUUACCCAGCACGGGCUCCCUGGAGCCCAGGGCAGCUUUCAAAUUGUGUUCCUCCCCAGGAGCAGGGAACCUGUGCGGCAGGUGCCCCGGGUAUUUUGGCAGAACUAGUUGAUUCGUUUAGGGAUCUCUGGAAAUGUCAGUUUCCUGAAGAGCCAAGCACUUUGUGAAUUCUGGUUUAUUUGUAAAACAGCAUUAUUAUAAUGUAGGUAUGGUCAAUGAGCAGUGGUGUCCAUCACAUAUAUUAUAGAAGCAAGCGAGCACAUUCCACCCUAGAAAUGGUUCAGAAACUCAUAGGCACCCUUAGCUGAUGGAAACAAUCAUAUUUAAUAUGCUUAGAAUCAGUUUUACUCCAAUCAGCUGGCAAUUUUGAGCUACCGGUUAUACACCAAAAUGUUCUGUUCAGUACCUAGCUCUGCUCUUUUAUAUUGCUUUAAAUUUUUAAAGAAAUUAUAUUGCAUGGAUGUGGUUAUUUGUGCAUAUUUUUUAACAAUGCCCAAUCUGUAUGAAUAAUGUAAACUUCGAUUUUUUUUUAAAAAAAUUAGAUUUUAGCUGGAGCUUUUGACUAAUGUACAGUAAAUGCCAAACUACCGACUUGAUAGGGAUGUUUUUGUAAGUUAAUUUUCUAAGACUUUUUCACAUCCAAAGUGAUGCUUUGGGUUUUAACUGUUUGGCCACGGCGGGGGUGGGGGGCGGGGGUUGGUACAGAAACUUGAAGCUGUUUGUGAUAUGUACAACUCAGAUGUUUCUCAUUAAAAAACAAAAUUAGCC
rnacentral:sRNA from 1 species